UAAUUUGGUUAACGCAGACUGGUUUAUUCAUUGCUUUUUGUAUUAACACUGAAGUAUUUGGUCAAUUAAAAAAAAAGUUGUCAUAUUGCACAUAUUUUGUUAUUAAAAAUUGCAUUUUUGUCAGACACCCGGUUAGGAACUGUGCGGCCCUUAUGUGCGAUAUUUUAUGAAAAUUCGUCAACUUACGACUGCACACACUUCUGUCCUCGAAUAAAUUGCAUUUCAUAAUCACUCAUAAAACAAAGACUCGUAGACUAACUUUUAAUGUACGAUCGGAAAUUGAGGGGAGUAAAAAAAAACACACACUUAAAAAAAAAAAACACGAAUCUGCUCCCUGCUGUCGUCUUAAGUUUGUUUACAUUGCGUCAAACGGACCUUCGUAGUUGUCACUCACAAAGAUGGCGAAAAGGUGAUGACGACUAAACCCAAUGGAGAAACGCUCCAAAGAGCCAUCGGGUCCCCAAUUUAAGAAGAGGAGAAAAGGGCCAAAGAUAAAGGACGGACGGUAUGAUGCUGGCUUCAGGCGUGACGAGGCCAGGCGGUCCGAAAGUGGCCAGCAGCGCCAUGAUUCCGUAAGGCAGCCAGCACAUAAGGUAGCAGAUCACCAUGAUCACCACCAUGAACAAGACUCGCUGCUCCCGUUUCCUGCUCAUCGAUGCGUUGAUCCCACUCACCUGGACACAGCAAGAGUCCAGCCACCACAAACAAAAUCCUGAGUCAAUAGGGUCUCUGCUGACCUGCCAGAGGUCGGCGGCCUUGACCCCGCUCAGGAACACGAGUUGGUCUUGGAUUAUAGAUGACUUGUCAAAGUGCAGCACUGCCGGGCAUCUGCGCGGCACGGCACCAAGUUAUUGUGAGAGCAGCACUCAUCGAGAAUCAUCGAUUCAUCACACGGGACGUGAGUAAUUGACUUAAUUAAGGAAAAAACACUCAAGGCUCUGGUUUGUGUUUCAGCAGAUAUAUUCUUUUUAUUUAAAUCCACUUCGUUUGCGUCGCAUAAAGUCCAGUAGUUAACUCUUUCCGGGACAGGCGUCACCACGGCGGGACAGCAAGACAAGUUGCUCU